rnacentral:rRNA from 1 species
UGAUUUGGAAUGGGGGCAGCCUGAUCAGCAUGCCGCAUGCGUCGUGUGAUGAAGGCCUUCGGGUUGUAAAGCUCUUUUGUCCGGGAAGAAAUCCCUUGUUCUAAUACGGUAUGGGGAUGACUAGUCCCGUUACCAAGCCACCGUCUUACCCGAUUAACCCAUGGACCAGCCGCGUGAUAAA